rnacentral:lncRNA from 1 species
GCUCACGCUGGGAGCUGUAGACCGGAGCUGUUCCUAUUCGGCCAUCUUGGCUCCACUCUCCUUUAUUUUUCUUAAGCUUUAGGUUUAAACAUUCAAAAUAGUAUUGUUUUUCCUAUUGAGAAUGUCAAAUUAUAAGCUAUAAAUUCAAGGGAUAAUUUUGUAUUGUUAAUGUCAGAGAAAUGCUUUUUGAUUUUAGUUUGUUUAGUCUCAGUAUGAGUUACUUUUGGGAUACUUUAAUAUAAUAAUUCUGGCACAGAAUCUACUACAGAUUUCAGUGUUCUCUAUUUUCAUUUCACUCAAUGUAUUAAACACAGAUUAAUUGAGGCUGAAUUGCAUGUAGUCUAAGAUGCCAAAUACUUGCAUAGAAAGAAUUCAUAUUGAGAAUGAAAAGUAAUUCUGCUAAGAAAAGAACUGUUAAAACAACGAGGAGUAAUUACAUAUAUUUUUUACUUUAAAAUGCAGAAAAAAAUAUGUGCCAAAAUUCUGUAACCAUAUUUUUUCAAUUAUAAAACCAAUAUAAACAAAAAUACAUGUCUGAAUAGUAUUGUGGCUCUUUACCCGUAUGAAAGUGUUUAAACCAUCAAGUGAUAAAAUUUAGGUGAAAAGACGUUAUAAGUUAAAAUUCUGUAUAAAUUAAGAAUAGCUUUACUAGUAAAUUUUAAUAUUGUACAUAUGUUGUCAGAAGUGAUUAAGGUAAUUACAUACUCCAAUUAUUUUCCUUUUUUUGCAAAUAUAUCCACUAUGUUUUUUGAAUGAAUCUAUUUUUAUUAUAAUUAUGUCAUAUGUAAAUAGGCUAUAAUAUUUAAAUUUUCCUUUUAAUCAUUACUGCACAUAUAUAUUGAAAUUUACUGCAAUUGUAUGCAAUUCUCAUUUUUAGGCAUAGAUAAUAAAGACAAGAAUAAGGUAAAAUUUUGCCCUGAGUAUACUUACAUUUUAAUGGGGAAAAGAACAGACAUAAAUGCAUCUAAUUUCAGGUAUUGAUAAAUGUGUGAAACUAAGUGAAACAGUGUGAAGCAUGAAGUAUGAUAAUCGGAGGCAAAGAAAAGCCUAUUGUGGUUUGUUCAAGAAGAAUUGACAGUGACUGGAAGUAGGAUGAUAGCAGCUGAAAUGGGGAAAAUAUCCGGUUUUAGGAUGCAUAUUGCUGGUAAAGUGAAGAGAACAUGCAAGUACAAAGGAAAGAGUAGAAUUGGGGUCACUCCCACCUUUAAAGGCUGAGCAAUUUGAGAAAAAAAGACAAAGGUUCCUGAUGAAAGUGGAAUUAUACCUCCAGAUUGCCUUGGAAGUUGAGCUGCAACAUCAACUUUUCCCUGAAGCUCCAGCCUGCUAGCCUACCAGCACAUGCUGCAGAUUUUGGACUUGCCAGCCCCCACAAUUAUGUGAGCCCAUUCCUUAAAAAUAAAUUCAGUUCAAUCUCUCUCUCUCUCUCUCUCUCCAUACAUACAUCCUAUUGGUUCUGUUUCUUUGGAGAACUCUGACUGAUACAGAUUUUGGUACCAAAAGUGGUUCUUAGGCUGCUCAUUCAUCCUGACAAUCAAAAGUGGUUCUUAAAGAACAAAAUCUUAAAAACCCAUUUUCUAAAUUGGCUCUGGGGUUUCUGCAAUUGGUUCCCUAGUCUAAUUAGAUUUAAAAGCAUUAGUGUUGCAUUUCCAGGAGUAAAAGGAACACUGAUAAUCCAUGGCAUGAUAUGAUGAUAAUAGAGAUACUCAGAAUAUCACCAUUGGAUUCUUUUAAUCAAAUACUUAAAAGAGGCAAGGUUCUGGGUGACCUAUGUAAUACCUUCAAACAUCUCUGUCAAGCUAAUCUUAGAGUUUUCAUUUCACACGUGAACUGGGAAUAAUUACUUUUACCCCAAAAAGAGUUGUAUUGAAGAAAAAAUGAGCUAACCCUUUUGGAAUAUCUGGCACAUGGUAUGCACUUACUAAACUGUCAUGUUAUCAAGGUUGACACUAC